CUACGGGAGGCAGCAGUGAGGAAUAUUGCGCAAUGGAGGCAACUCUGACGCAGCCAUGCCGCGUGCAGGAAGACGGCCCUACGGGUUGUAAACUGCUUUUAUCCGGGAAGAAUCCCUUCUACGUGUAGGAGGUUGACGGUACCGGAAGAAUAAGGACCGGCUAACUCCGUGCCAGCAGCCGCGGUAAUACGGAGGGUCCAAGCGUUAUCCGGAUUUAUUGGGUUUAAAGGGUGCGUAGGCGGAACGAUAAGUCAGUGGUGAAAGCCUGCAGCUUAACUGUAGAAUUGCCAUUGAUACUGUCGUUCUUGAGUGCGCUUGACGUGGGCGGAAUGUGCCGUGUAGCGGUGAAAUGUUUAGAUAUGGCACAGAACACCAAUUGCGAAGGCAGCUCACGAAAGCGAUACUGACGCUGAGGCACGAAAGCGUGGGGAUCGAACAGGAUUAGAUACCCCAGUAGUCC
rnacentral:rRNA from 1 species